rnacentral:rRNA from 1 species
GACGAACGCUGGCGGCGUGCCUAAUACAUGCAAGUUGAGCGCUGAAGGUUGGUACUUGUACCAACUGGAUGAGCAGCGAACGGGUGAGUAACGCGUGGGGAAUCUGCCUUUGAGCGGGGGACAACAUUUGGAAACGAAUGCUAAUACCGCAUAAAAACUUUAAACACAAGUUUUAAGUUUGAAAGAUGCAAUUGCAUCACUCAAAGAUGAUCCCGCGUUGUAUUAGCUAGUUGGUGAGGUAAAGGCUCACCAAGGCGAUGAUACAUAGCCGACCUGAGAGGAUGAUCGGCCACAUUGGGACGGAGACACGGCCCAAACUCCUACGGGAGGCAGCAGUAGGGAAUCUUCGGCAAUAGACGAAAGUCUGACCGAGCAACGCCGCGUGAGUGAAGAAGGUUUUCGGAUCGUAAAACUCUGUUGGUAGAGAAGAACGUUGGUGAGAGUGGAAAGCUCAUCAAGUGACGGUAACUACCCAGAAAGGGACGGCUAACUACGUG